UUUGGUGGUUAUAGCGAACUUGAAACACACGAACCCAUUCCGAACUCGAACGUGAAACGGUUCUGCGCCGAUGGUACUUUGUCUUAAGACACGGGAGAGUAGGUCGCUGCCAAAU
rnacentral:rRNA from 1 species